CGGAAGUUCCUAGGCCAGGGAUCAAGCCUGCACCACAGCAGAAACCUGAGCUACUGUAGUGACAAUGACCAAUCUUUAACUCACUGCACCACAGCAGGAUCCCUAUUAGUAAGAAUUCUUAUCUUUUGAAAGCAAUACAAAUGAAUUGAAGGGUUUGUAGUAGGAGUGACAUGAUCAGAUUCUAUUUUUGUUGUUGUUGUUGUUGUUUUUGUUUUGUUUUUGUAUUUUAUGGCUGCACCUUCGACAUAUGAAGUUCCCAGGCUAGGGGUUGAAUCGAAGCUGCAGCUGCCAGCCUACAGCAUAGCCGCAGCAAUGUGGGAUCCAAGCUGUGUCUUCAACCUACGCCACAGCUUAUGGUAAUACCAGAUCCUUAACCCACUGUGUGAGGCCAGGGAUUGAUCCUGCAACCUCAUGGAUACUAGUCAGGUUUGUAACCCGCUGUGCCACAGCAGGAACUCCCCAGACUCUGUUUUUAAAGGCUCACUCUGACAUAAGUGUAAAGAAAUCAAUCUUUAGGAGUUCCCUGGUGGCUCAGCAGUUAAGGAUCUGGCACCAGGAUCCCCAGCCCAGGAACUUCUGUAUAACUCAGGUAAAUCCAAAAAAGAAAAAAGAACUCAUCUCAUUUUCUUUUCUUUCUUUCUUUCUUUUUUUUUUUUUUUUUUUUUGGCUUUUUGACUUUUCUAGGGCCGCUCCUGCAGCAUAUGGAGAUUCCCAGGCUAGGGGUCGAAUUGGAGCUGUAGCCACCUGCCUACACCAGAGCCACAGCAAUGCAGGAUCUGAGCCACGUCUGCAACCUACACCACAGCUCAUGGCAACACCGGAUCCUUAACCCACUGAGCAAGGCCAGGGAUAGAACCUGCAACCUCAUGGUUCCUAGUCAGAUUCGUUAACCACUGCACCACAAUGGGAACUCCAAAAGAAUUCAUUUUCUAAAUAAAUGAGGGGGUUUGGCCAUGCCCAUGGCAUGUGGAAGGUCCCAAGCCAGGGAUGGAACCUGAGCCGCAACAAUGACCCAAGCCAUAGCAGUGAUAAUGCUGGAUCCUUAACCCGCUGUGCCACAAGAGAACUCCCCUUUGAGAUCUUACAGACAAUAUACAAACAGUACAUAAGAUGGUGAGAAGUGCUAUUAUGCAUAUUGGAAAUCAGGUAAAAAUAAAAUGGUAGGGUGCUUCUGCUCAUUCAUUAGCUUGAACCAUGUGAAAUUACUGAUCUUUUAUAUAUAUUUUUAAAACCUCAGAAUGAUAUUAAGUUUAUGGUUUACAGCCUGGUAGGAUGACAUUAGAGUUACAUUAUUCAAUUUAAUACUUGGAAGAGUUAGAGAAAACCUCUGAUAAGGUGAUCCAAAGAAAGAGGCAAGCCAUGCAAAUUUGUGGUGGAAGGUGAAGAGAAUCCCAAGUGAAGAGAAAGCAGGUGCAAAAGUCCUAAAGCAAGAAUACUCGCUGCAUUUGAUGGCCUCAUUAGGAGGCCAGUAUGACUGAAAAGUAAUGGACGAGAGGGAAGGAUGGUUGUAGGGACCAGAGCAUGCUGGGUCUUGGAGACCAUGGUAAGAAAUUGGCUUUUCUUCUCUCUCUCUUAUGGAGGCUCCCAGGCUAGGGGUCAAAUCAGAGCUAUACCUGCCAGCCUAUGCCAAGGCAGGAUCUGAGCUGCAUCUAUGACCUACACCAUAGUUCAUGGCAAUGCCAGAACCUUAACCCACUGAGUGAGGCCAAGGAUUGAACCUGCAACCUCACAGUUACUAGUCAGAUUCAUUUCUGCUGAGCCACAACAGGAACUCCUGGCUUUUCUUCUUUGAAUGAGGCAAGGCAUUGAGGCAUUUUGAGCAGAGGAGCUAUAAGAUUUGUUAUCUUAGAAAUGGUAGAUUCUAGGUAGUGAGUAUACAGACGGAUCACUGUAAAAUCUUUCAAUUUUUCUAUAUGUUUUAGAUUUUUCCCAAUAAAAUGAGAAGACUGCUUCAGCUGCUGGUUUGUAAAUAGAUUUUAGGAGGUAGAAGAUAAGGAAGACCAGUAUUGUAAUAAUUUAGAUAGUAGUGGAGGUGGUAAGAAGUUGUUAAAUUCCAAAUAAAUUUUGAACAUAGAGCCAGUAAGAUUUUCUUACAGGUAUAAGAAAAGAGAUACUGCUUAAAGUUUUAGAUCUGAGCAACUGGAAGGAUGGGGUUGCCAUCUACUGAAAUGUGGAAGGCAGUGUCUACAAACAAGUUUGGAGCAGAAGGCUUUUUGGACAAGAUAAAUUUGUGAUGUCUUUUGAAUUUGAUAAAUGGAUAUAUCAAAUAGGCAAUUGACUAUUCAAGUCAGUAAUUCACAGGAAGCAUCCAUGUAGGAAAUACAAUUCUAGGAAUCCACUUAAAUACUACGAUACAGGAGUUCCUGUUGUGACUCAGUGGAAACGAAUCUGACUAGCAUCCAUGAGGAGGCAGGUUCAAUCCCUGGCCUUGCUCAGUGGGUUAAGUCUCCAGUGUUGCUGUGAUCUUUGGUAUUGGUUGCAGACUUGGCUUGGAUCUUGAGUUGUUGUGGCUGUGGCGAAGGCUGAAGGCUACAGCUCCAAUUAGACCCCUAGCCUGGGAACCACCAUAUGCCUCAGGUGCGGCCCUAAAAAGACCAAAAAAAAAAAAA
rnacentral:lncRNA from 1 species